GGGAUGUGUCUGAUUGUAUUCCUGGUAUGUGGUACUACUUGGGAUGGAGUAAUUUAUCAGCAUAAGGUCUUCAGCCAGAUGAUGAGUCUGAAGAUGUGACUGGCUGCCUGAAGCCAAAACGUAGGACUUGGGACCUGUAAGAAAGCAUCUCUCUUCCUACGACCAAUAGCCUCUACCAUAAAUUGGUGUGCAUGACCAUUUCAGGCACUGCAAGCAGCUCAAUCCAGGAUCUUCAGGUGGGAAGAAGCUGGCUAUCUCUAACCUGUGGACAUUUGAAAGUGGGGAAAGUGCCUUAAUCUGCUGUAAUCAGUGCCAGCUUCAUUAGCUCAAACCAUCUUCAGUGGCGCACUCAAAGAACUAUGUGGAGAAGAAAGUUAUUGCACCUGGCUGAUCAUCACAGCCCUCUGCUGCCUCUUCAAAAUUGCCUGCAAAACUUUAUGUGCUUGUGCUCUGUAAUGUCUUUCCACCAAAGUAAACUUAGCAGACACAGGGACUUUAACCUGUUUGACAAACUGGCUGACCUAACCCGAAGUAAAUUAGAAAGCUGUUCUGCUGCAAACUGGAAGCAAGUUUAUUUGCUCCAAAUACACCUGAAAGAGCAGUUCUGUUCACAAUCUGAGAAAUUGUAUUCCUAAGAAAACUUCUUGGAGGACAAAAAUCUAUGUAGAUCAAGCCUUGAUAUCCAGCACAAAGUCUCUGUCAGACUUCUCACAGAAGAAUGUCACUCUGGGUGACGCUGAACAGUAUACUACCUUUGAGGGAGCUUAGCAAGAUCAGAGAGGUUUUGUAAUCACUGUCACAGGCAAUGCUUGACUAUUCGUCACGAGAUAAGGUCUGAGGCACUUCUGGAAAUUAGUUACAAGAUGUCCUGAGUUGAGCAACCAAUAAACAAGACACUUAAGGUAAAUAAAUGCUUCUAAAUACUUGGUGGUUUGUAUCCUCCGGAAAGACUGCAAGGCCUGCCAAAGACUGAGGCUGCUUCAGGAUGCCUGGCAUACACAGCAUAUGUAGUAUUUCCUAAGGAUGAUGCACAGCGGCAACUUGGACUAAUGUUGCUUUUGCCAAAUGCCUAUGUGGUUCGAUUUUGUUAGCUGCAGUCUUUUAAAAAUGCUUUUGAAAUCCUGAUCUACGGGAGUCAGUUAGUCCUUUCAAUUUCUUUCGCAUACAUUAGUCACUAGAUUGUUACUUUAAAUUUCCGAACAGGCGACUUGCAUUCAUAUGCAAACUAAAUUAGGGGU